CAAAGGCUUGGUCCUGACUUUGCUAUCAGCUCUAGCUAUAUUUACACAUGCAAGUAUCCGCGCCCCUGUGAGGAUGCCCUAACAAUCCCCUGCCCGGGGACAAGGAGCAGGCAUCAGGCACAACUUGUUUAGCCCAUAACGCCUUGCACCGCCACACCCCCAAGGGAAUUCAGCAGUGAUAAACAUUAAGCCAUAAGUGAAAACUUGACUUAGUUAAAGCUAACAGAGCCGGUAAAACUCGUGCCAGCCACCGCGGUUAUACGAGAGGCCCAAGUUGAUAGCCACCGGCGUAAAGCGUGGUUUAAGUAAAAGACAUCAAUAAAGCCGAAGGCCCUCAAAGCAGUCAUACGCAUUCGAGAGGCAGAAGCACAAUAACGAAAGUGGCUUUAAUAUACUUGACCCCACGAGAGCUAUGACACAAACUGGGAUUAGAUACCCCACUAUGCUUAGCCCCAAACCUUGAUAGCACAUCACAUAUGCUAUCCGCCCGGGAAGUAAGAGCAUAAGCUUGAAACCCAAAGGACUUGGCGGUGCUUUAGAUCCCCCUAGAGGAGCCUGUUCUAGAACCGAUAAUCCCCGUUCAACCUCACCUUUUCUUGUUCCCCCCCCCGCCUAUAUACCGCCGUCGCAAGCUUACCCCGUGAUGGAUAAAUAGUAAGCAUAAUUGGCAUAGCCCAAAACGUCAGGUCGAGGUGUAGCGUAUGAGAAGGGAAGAAAUGGGCUACAUUCCCUAAUCAGGGAAUACGAAUGAUGCCCUGAAAAAAUGCAUCUGAAGGAGGAUUUAGUAGUAAGGGGGAAGCAGAGCGUCCCCCUGAAACUGGCCCUGAAGCGCGCACAUACCGCCCGUCACUCUCCCCAAGCGUUCAAACUUUUUAAAUAAAAUGCUAGGCCAGCAAAGGGGAGGCAAGUCGUAACAUGGUAAGUGCACCGGAAGGUGUGCUUGGCAAAA
rnacentral:rRNA from 1 species